UAAACGUCUGAAAGAACUAAAAUGACAGGAAUCAAACAUUUUUCCACUAAAUUUGGUAUUUUCUGCAGAUGAAGACGUUGAUGUGGAGCCGGUGGCUCUCUGCCAGAGCCUCUGGCCCUAAUGACCGGGAACCAGCUGACCAUCAAUGAACUAGACCCAAACAAUAGCUCAUGUUUCCACAGCGGCGUGCACGCGCUCUGAGCGCGUUUUCCCCCUCUGGUUUAAUGAGACAAGAUGGCCGCUGCUGUGGUAUCAACAAAGAGGUGGGCGGCUGUGUGGAGGUGGAGGAGCAGACAAAGGCCGGGGUGGUGGAGGUGAAGUGGAGCUGUUUGGAUCUCACACGCAAACCUCACAGCCUCCAGAUGUGGGACCCCAGGGCCGCCGUGGAGCUCAGGUCCCAGAAACUUUUAAUAAUCAUGGCGAGAAAAGAAAAAGGUUCAAAAUGGCCGCUGUGUUUGUUCGGUUGUCAUGGUGAUCCGGCAGAAGCACAUUUUCCUCCAAACUGAGCAGAAAAAACCUGCGACUGGCUGCUGCCAACCAGAAGAAGAACAAGCUGCUGCUCUGUCUGCACUCUGCAUGAAUCUGGCAUGAGGUCAGAGUGAAGCAACCCUCCUCCUCCAGCCCCAGGGCGCCCCCUGGGUGAACCCAGGAAUUCCUCAGACGUCGGAGGUUUCAUCCGUUGUUUUAGAGCCAUGAACAGAGAAACGUCUGUUAUCCUGCAGCCGAGGAAUAAUGGAGGAUAUCGGUGCAUCAUUCAUCAGUUUAAACCUGAGCUGCAAAUUAUUAACAUUACAGAUACUUAACUGCUUAUAAAUGAUGCAGUUCUGCAUCUGCUAACGGAGAACAAAGGUUUUCCAUUUGGUCGCAUUAAAGUCAAAUAGUUUUGUCUAAUUAAACCAUGGCAGUAACAGGUUAUAAAAUGAAACAUAUUCCACUGCUUAAUGCGCUUUUAUAGUUACUUCUGCUGCUUUUAUGAUUAAAUCUUACGGAGAAUCUCUGAGCUACUAAACAUUAAG